rnacentral:rRNA from 1 species
GGACGACGCUGGCGGCGUGGAUUAGGCAUGCAAGUCGGACGGUAGGGCUUUAUCGUAAGAUAGAGUUUGAGAGUGGCGAACGGGUGAGUAACACGUAGGAAUCUACCCUUAAGACGGGGACAACCCAGGGAAACUUGGGCUAAUACCGGAUGAGAGUGCGAGAGAUUGCAUUUAAAAGGAUGGCGAAAGUUGUCGCUUAGGGAUGAGCCUGCGGUCUAUUAGUUAGUUGGUGAGGUAAGAGCUCACCAAGGCGAUGAUAGAUAGGCGGCCUUAACGGGUGGUCGCCCACACUGGGAUUGAGAGACGGCCCAGACUCCUACGGGAGGCAGCAGUCGAGAAUAGUCUACAAUGGACGGAAGUCUGAUAGUGCGACGCCGCGUGAACGAAGAAUCCCUUCGGGGUGUAAAGUUCUUUUAUACGUGAGCAGUGCCCUUUAUAUGAAUAGUAUAGAGGGAGGGAUUUAAGCGUAUGAAUAAGCAACGGCUAACUCCGUG